rnacentral:rRNA from 1 species
GAGUUUGAUCAUGGCUCAGGACGAACGCUGGCGGCGCGCCUAACACAUGCAAGUCGAGCGAUGAAAAGGAUUUGGAGUUCUUCGGGACAAAGAAACCUUGGAUUAGCGGCGGACGGGUGAGUAACACGUGAGUAACCUGCCUUUGACAUGGGGAUAGCCUCGGGAAACCGUGAUUAAUACCCAAUAAUAUUUCUAGGUCGCAUGACAUGGAAAUCAAAGCGUUUAGCGGUCAAAGAUGGACUCGCGUCUGAUUAAUUAGUUGGUGAGGUAACGGCUCACCAAGAUAGCGAUCAGUAGCCGGCCUGAGAGGGUGAACGGCCACAUUGGAACUGAGAGACGGUCCAAACUCCUACGGGAGGCAGCAGUGGGGAAUAUUGCACAAUGGGGGGAACCCUGAUGCAGCGACGCCGCGUGAGCGAAGAAGGUUUUCGAAUCGUAAAGCUCUGUCCUAUGGGAAGAUAAUGACGUACCUGGAGAGCC